UUAAUAAUAUUGUACAAGCAAAUAUUGACCAUAAAUUUACAACCAAACGAAAAACUAUGCAGGUCGCAACAAUGUCCAAAGUUGGAGACACCGAGAAUCCAUUCGCAGCUCUGCUGCAGGAUGGCACCCAGGCCAAUGGCGUGUCCAAGCAGCUGAUCGAAUCAAUUUUGCUUUUUACACUGAGCAAAGAUGCGGACACCAAGCGCAAUCGGCCUGUGCUCUGUCUGGCCGAUGUCGUUGUGGCCGACAAUAGCACCGAGGACACGCUCGGCGAGGAUCUGCUGGCGCAUGCCCUGUUCGAGCGCCUCAUGCUGGAGGAGACCACAAAAUACCUAAUGCCAUCUGGACAGGUCGAUCAAAGGCAAGAGGAGCAAGCCCUGGAGACGCGGGCCAUCAUUUAUCUGCACGGUGCAUUCACCAGAUGGGAGGAGAUACAGCGCACUGGCAGCCUACAGGACAAGGAACAUAGCAAUCGAAUUCUUGACUUGAUCCUAAACAAUGCUAGCACAUGCAUGCGCCAGCCGGAUCUAUUUGCACUCCAAACAUUCUCAGCGCAGUGGCUGGAGUUGUUUGAGGAGGCGGACGAGCAUGAUACCAGCACGCAGGAGUUUCUGAUUCGUGUGGCAGAAAAGGUGCUCGAAGAUGUUGAGCAACUGGAGGCGCUGGGCGCUCUCAAGGCCAUAUUCUACCCCAUGCUAAGUGAAUUGCAAAAGCAAUUGGUUAAAGAUAAUUUGAUUACAAUCAGAAAGAAUAUAUUCUGGAUUCUGGGCUUCUUUGUGCGCGAAAAACGCGCCGGCUUACUCGGCGAGUUGCUCAUUGACUUCACCACACCCAAUCCUAAGGCUAAAGGUGGUGAAUACAUGGAUACGCUUUUGGGGCAAUUGCUGUGCAUGUCCAUUAUGCCCAAGACUCAAACCGCGCCCUAUGAAUUCUUCCGCGACAUAUCGCUGAUCUCCCAGCAAUCGGAUCCCACACUCUGGCAGCUGCUGGCACAUCAUCAGCAGGCAAUGUUUACGCUGGUCAAACAACUGCUCGUACAAUCUUCCGCCACCAAGAAGAAGACGCUGCAGUGGAUAGCCAACUGUCUGGACGCGAAUGUGGCGCGUGGUCAUUUGUGGAGCACCAUUAACUUGAAUCUGGAGCAGACGGUGCACAGCACCGCCAGUGAUGCAUUUAUGACCAGCCUCAGCGCCGUGCUGAUGCGUCUGUGUGCGCCGCUCUGCGCGCCCGCCUUAAAGGUGCUGCUGGUAGAUCCCACAUACUGUGCGGUGGCGGACCCGUUGGAACGCCAAUCGAAGGGCGUUAACAUGCUGAAGGCGUUUGAGGAGACAUGCCUACUGCCCACCGAGGAAGGGGAACAGCGCUUGACAGCGGCUAAGUACAAUUUUAUCACCGAGAUCUUCUAUUUGGCGCACAAGGCGUUCGAGCUGGGCAAUCGGGCGUGCAUUGAGCGCUUGACGCGCAUGAUGCGUGAGCUGCAGAACACACAGACCGCCUACCAGGAUGUGGCGGCUAGCGAUCCGAACAACGAUCUAACCAAGAAUCUGUUUCGCAUGCUGCAGGAUCAGAUGCAACAGGUGCUCUGCAUAAGAAAUGGCCUGGCCGAGCCUGAAAAUGAUACCGCCAUCCUCAAGUUCUUUGAGGCCUCCGCCAUUUGGCUCACUGAGAUAGCGAUGCUGCCGCGCGAAUCCUACGAGGCGGGACUGGACAAAAAGGACUUUGCGCCACAGCUGUUGCGCGAUCUGGAGCUGUUGUCGGAAACACCGCCCUUUGUGGCGCCAUACAUGAAAUCGGUGCCGGAGAAUAUUAUCGACAACAUUGCGGCCUAUUUGAAUUUCUGUCGCAGCUUUCCCGGCGAUCAGUAUAUACAAAUGUACACCAGCUCGCACGAUGCUUUCUUCAAGAUGAUACUAUUGUUCAUGGGCAGCUCGGGACUGGUCAAGAAUCCGCAUUUGCGCGCCAAAUUGGCUGACGCUCUAGAGUUUCUGCUGCCCACACAAAUCUCUGGCAGCAAUCGCAAGGCAUUCCAUACACACGUCUUUGAUAGUCACACAGAUCGGUUGCAGGUGGUGCGCAGUCUGCUCAACGUGUUCGUCAGCAUCGAAAUGACCGGUCAGUCGGUGCAGUUUGAGCAGAAGUUCAACUAUCGCCGUCCCAUGUACGCGAUCAUGGAGUUUCUGUGGACCAAGGAGGAGCAUGUGGAGUGCUUUAGGCAGCUGGCGCAGGACGCCGAACGCAACAUGGAGGCCAUUGAGCCGCCAAUAUUUUUGCGCUUCAUCAAUCUGCUCAUCAACGAUGCCAUCUUCCUGCUGGACGAAUCGCUCUCCAAUCUGGAACAAAUCAAACAGCUGCAGCAGGCUCAAGACAACGGCGAAUGGAAUAAUCUGUCGCACAGCGAGCGUCAACAGCAGACCACCAAUCUGCAUCAUUUGGGCAUGUUGGCACGCUUCGAUAAUAUACUGGGCCGUGACACCAUCAAUCUGCUAAAGCUGCUGACCAGCGAGAUCAAGAGCAUCUUCUGCCAUAACAGCAUGGUCGAUCGCAUUGCGGCCAUGCUCAACUAUUUUCUAUUGCAUUUGGUGGGGCCGCAGCGAGAACGCUUCAAGGUGAAGGACAAAAAGGAGUUCGAGUUUGAUCCGGCGCAAAUGGUGCUGGAGAUAGCGCACAUCUACAUAAAUCUAAGUACGGACAAUUCGUUCUGCCUGGCCGUAUCCCAGGAUGGACGCUCCUACAGCGAUCAGCUAUUCGGCUAUGCCGAGAAUAUAUUGAUACGUAUCGGUGGUGGUCAGCUAAUUGGCGACAUGGCCGAGUUUGCAGCCAAGGUGCAGAAAAUGGGCGAUGACUACAAGGAGGAGCAAGAGCUGCUAGCCGAUGCGCCCGAAGAGUAUCUGGAUCCGAUUAUAUCAACGCUCAUGACCGAUCCCGUGGUGCUGCCCAGCUCGAACGUGACCGUUGAUCGUUCCACAAUUGCUCGCCACCUGCUCAGCGAUCAGACAGAUCCAUUCAAUCGCGAACCCCUCACCAUGGACAAGGUCAAAUCGAAUGAGGCGCUCAAGCUGGAGAUUGAGCAAUGGAUCGAGGGCAAACGCAGUGCGGCGCGUGUCAAGAGCUGAGCAACCAAACCCGGCUAGGACACGCGCAUAACCAAAGAAUUAGCUCGUCGUGGGGGUAACCGGAUAAGGCUUUAGUUUAAUAUCAGUUUAUCCUUAUAUAAUUCCAGUUUAUGUACAAUAUGUAGGUACAUAAAUAACCUUUGCAAUUUUCCAAUUAAUGGUUGAGUUGGGACUCCAGUUUGUGUACACGCAAGAUGAAGUUUUACUUGUACUUGUUUCUGGAGCAACAAUAUGAUAUAGUAUGACGAUCUUGACAGAACUUGGAACUUAUGGAUGGAGUAGGUGUUGAUGGAGCAAAGGGAAGCUGUCUAUGAAGACAGAAAAGAAAACCUAUGGAUCCUACAGCAGGCAGAUGAUAUAGCCAUAGGUCAGGCUUACAAUUAAAAGCUUUUAGAGACUCAACGCCAAAGUAU
rnacentral:misc_RNA from 1 species